UAUUGUGACAAGGCAAAUUUGAGACUUCUAGUAGAAAGUGAUUUCUUCAAACUGCGAUAUUGGGAGGUUUUCUGGCUGUGGUGCAGCAAAAUCCAGCGAUGGAUAUGUCCAUUUGCACCGGAGGCAUGCGCACGAAAAACUUUAGCAUACCCCCUGCUUGUUCACGCGUCGUAAAUUUAAAGACAAAACAUGCUCGGAGAUACAGCGCUAAGGUUUUGAACACGAAGGAGGGUUUUAAUAUGAGAAGCCCUUUAAAGCAGAGCCCAGUGACCUGGCAGGAACAAAUAAGCACAGUUCACAGGGGCCUUGACCUGGCGUUUCCUCAUUCUCGUCGCGACCGUGAUGUUGCUGCUCACGUUAUUCCUUUUGAAAGAGAAAGUCCACGGCGUUCUCCACCUCCAGAUCUAGCAUCCUAUUUUUUGAGUAAAAGAAUAAUCUAUUUGGGAUGGCCACUUUAUUGGAGUGUGUUUGAAUUAAUUUUAGGAGAAUUAAUAUAUCUGCGAGAAGAGGAUUCUGAUAAGCCAGUUUACAUGUAUAUCAAUUCCACAGGCAGUACAAAGAAUGGGAUAAAACUUGCAUCCGAGACUCAAGCUAUUGCGCUUCAUGAUGUUAUGCGGACAGCAUCAUUUCCAGUUUAUACACUUUGUGUUGGGAAUGCAUGGGGGGAAGCAGCCUUGCUUUUGGCAGCUGGAGCUAAAGGACAUCGUGCUGCUUUGCCAUCAGCUAGUAUAAUGAUAAAACAGCCAAUAAUAGCGGCCCAAGGCCAAGCUACUGACAUUGACCUUGCACGCGAUGAAGUAACAUUUGGUAAAGAUCUUAUGGUUAAACUUUGGGCUCAUUACACUGGACAUUCUAGAAAAAAGAUUGCAGAAGAUAUUUUGCGGCCAAAAUAUUUCAGCCCAGAAGAAGCUAUUGAGUAUGGGCUGAUUGAUAAGGUAUUGUAUGGUAAAGGUAAGGAAUCGGAGGGUAGGGUCUUGGAGGACUCUGCUGCUUCUCUUGUCAGUAAAGCGGAAUUAAUAUAACUACUGAAGGGUAGUUGUUUACAACAAUUUCAAGCUAUUUGCAAUGGUGUUUAAAUUUUGCUAUGUUGCAUCUUUUCAGGGUUCCCAUUAAAGAUUAUGACCUUGGGGUGGCAUUUUCAGCUUAAAAUUGAGUUUGCAGGUUCUUCUUAGAAUGCUGGAAAGUUCCUUUUGAUGCUUCUAAAUCUUUUACCAAUAUUCAUAUACUUGAGAUUGGAGUUCCGCUAAAAUGAUCACUAUUGUUUUAUGGUUAGGAUAUGUUAGUGGCCAUUUCUAGAGGAAUGUUUCAGCUUAUUUGGGUGGGAGAAGCACUGAGCUAGUGCAAUUGCUAUUAUGAACCAUUUAUUGUAAGUGCUGGUCAAAUUUUGAUGAAUUGGUUCAUCUAUUCAAAUGAAUGAAUUGAUUCCUGCACGUGUAUCUGGUCCCAAAUAUUUCUUCUGUAAAAGAAACUUGGCAGGUUAUUAUUAAUGGAAUAAGUAUUAUGAUCCAACCUUCUUACUUUGUUUA